rnacentral:rRNA from 1 species
GAUGAACGCUGGCGGCGUGCCUAAUACAUGCAAGUCGAGCGAACGGACGAGAAGCUUGCUUCUCUGAUGUUAGCGGCGGACGGGUGAGUAACACGUGGAUAACCUACCUAUAAGACUGGGAUAACUUCGGGAAACCGGAGCUAAUACCGGAUGAUAUUUUGAACCGCAUGGUUCAAAAGUGAAAGACGGUCUUGCUGUCACUUAUAGAUGGAUCCGCGCUGCAUUAGCUAGUUGGUAAGGUAACGGCUUACCAAGGCAACGAUGCAUAGCCGACCUGAGAGGGUGAUCGGCCACACUGGAACUGAGACACGGUCCAGACUCCUACGGGAGGCAGCAGUAGGGAAUCUUCCGCAAUGGGCGAAAGCCUUACGGAGCAACGCCGCGUGAGUGAUGAAGGUCUUCGGAUCGUAAAACUCUGUUAUUAGGGAAGAACAUAUGUGUAAGUAGCUGUGCACAUCUUGACGGUACCUAAUCAGAAAGCCACGGCUAACUACGUG